rnacentral:lncRNA from 1 species
CGCAGAUCACAGGUGUAGCUGAUUAGCCUCACUCUGAGCCUCGUCUUUACGAGUUCAGGAUGCCAUGAACCCCAGAGGAGGAGGAGGUGUUAGCAGAGAAGGCGUUUGCUGAAGCUCCUCACACAGCCAGAAGCUGAGACAUUUUCCUCCGAGGACCUUUCGUGCUUAUGAAAAUGAGCUUCAGCCAAUGAAAUCAGUGCCCAAAUACGGAGAUGCCUGCGAUCUGCACUUGUGGGAAGAAGAUUCACAUUUCAAGUCGGCUGCGCAACGGGCAAGCAAGUAGAGCAAAGCACUGACCCUGGUGAGACGCAGGGGCGGCGGCGGGGCGUGGCUAUCAUCACGCCAUUCUCUCGCUGCUACUACAUGCUCUGAUCACAGCAACUCCCUCACCUCUGGAUUCUUACGUCUCUGCCUCCACAGAGAUAUAGGUGAGCCUGUGUUGCUUGUACAGAGUAA